GGCCUGUUAGCUCAGCUGGUUAGAGCGUGGUGCUAAUAAUGCCAAGGUCGUGGGUCAGAUCCCCACAUGGGCCA
rnacentral:tRNA from 1 species